rnacentral:rRNA from 1 species
UGAGGAAUAUUGGUCAAUGGGGGGAACCCUGAACCAGCCAUCCCGCGUGCAGGAAGACAGUUCUAUGGAUUGUAAACUGCUUUUCUAGGGGAAGAAUAAUGACGACGCGUCGUCAGAUGACGGUACCCGAGGAAUAAGCAUCGGCUAACUCCGUGCCAGCAGACGCGGUAAUACGGAGGAUGCAAGCGUUAUCCGGAUUUAUUAGGUUUAAAGGGUGGGUAGGCGGAUGUAUAAGUCAGUGGUGAAAGUCAGCAGCUUAACUGUAGAAUUGCCAUUGAUACUAUAUGUCUUGAGUGUAGUAGAGGUAUGCGGAAUAUGUAAUGUAGCGGUGAAAUGCAUAGAUAUGACACAGAACACCGAUUGCGAAGGCAGCAUGCUAAGCCACAACUGACGCUGAUGCACGAAAGCGUGGGGAUCAAACA